GUGUUCCCCAACUUACCAUGGUUUGACUCUAUCAUGGCGGAAAUGCAAUUCAGCAGAAACUGCACCCUGCAUUUUUUAAUUUGCACCAUUUCCCUGGGCUCCCUGGACAGCAUCGAUGUGUCCAGGUUUCCCCUUGGCACCGCCAUUUACAGCAAGUUUCAGCUGGUAUAGUCACAAGCAGUUCACAGACAGCCCACACGGAACUUCCCUGGAGUGUUUACAGUAAUGUGCGAGGUGAACACGAAUGGGUCGCCGUCAUAAGAGUGUAUGCUGGGGCAGCCAAUCAAAGACCCAGGGAUGCACCAAGCUGUCUCUGCCAACCCCCACCCUACCUGUGACCACUCUGUUCUGAGCACGCAGUAAAGGCCAGUUCAGAUCAAUGGGAGCAGCAGCAGCUCGGCUGGGAGCAGCUGGUUUCCUGCUAAUUGACACUGAAGGUGCAGCCAACAGGAAAAUGUAGGACGAAAUUAAAAUCAUUAUUUGUGCCUUCUUCUUUCAGUCUUCGUCUCUUGCCUUGGUCACACUCGUUAGAUGGAAAUGGAUUUUCCAUGUAAGUCAGCUUUCCAUUCCUAAACAAAAUAACUGAGAAAACUCAGAAGGGGAAAAGGUUUACGGUUCUCAACGUUUCUGGCCAUGGUUGCUUGGCCUCCUUGCUUUGGGCCUAGAGCAAGACAGCACACCAUGUGAGACACAUGAUACAGGGGAAGCCCAUUACUGUAUGAUGGGCAAACAAAUAAGAAAGAGUAAAACAAUAAAUACAAUACAAAACUGGAGUGAGGGCAUGGUGGUACACACCUUUAAACCCAGGAAAGGAGGGCAGAGGCAGGGGGAAUCGCUGAGUUCAAGGCUAGCCUAGUUUACACAGUGAGUUGCAGGACAGCCUGAAACUGUCCUACACAGAGAAACCCUGUCUUUAAAAACAACAACAGUAAGAAAGAAAAAAAUUCAUUGGUGAUUUAAACCCCCUGCCAUGCCAUAGCUCUUUUGUUUCUGCCACUUUCUAACCAAGCUGGAGAUUAAUUUUGAGAACAUGGCUUUGAGGUGCAUUCAAGGUCCAGACUGCAGGAAGUACAAGGCAGGAAAUAUAAUGGAAACUGAAGAUAUUUCAUGAGCAAUCCUUGGACAUUUAGUGUGUGGACAGUGGUUUUCAGUGCAUGCACAAGGCCCCAUUAUGAGCCCACGGUGCCAAACCUGCACAUAACAAACUAAGCUGCAUUUGCCGCCUCUCGCUCUCUUUGUCUCUCAAGUCAGAGUGUGAAAGAGCUUUGAUCGUGUUUGAGAUUUCAGCAGACUGACCACAGGGGAGAAGAGAGAAGUCAAGUAGCUUCUGUUCAAAGAAGACACUGGAAAUGAAGAGCUUGCAAAAA